CAGCCGCGGUAAUACAGAGGGUGCGAGCGUUGUCCGGAAUCACUGGGCGUAAAGGGCGCGUAGGUGGCGCUCCAAGUCCAUGGUGAAAGCUCGAUGCUCAACAUCGAGUCGGCCACGGAUACUGGAGGGCUGGAGCACUGUAGAGGCAGAUGGAAUUCCGGGUGUAGCGGUGGAAUGCGUAGAGAUCCGGAAGAACACCGGUGGCGAAGGCGGUCUGCUGGGCAGUUGCUGACACUGAGGCGCGACAGCGUGGGGAGCAAA
rnacentral:rRNA from 1 species